GGCGCGGGGGGGGUAUGAUGACCCUGUCUCACUGGCUGCACUUUCAUUAUUGCGUCCUUUAAUAUUUUAUUUACUUUCACUUUCACUUUUCACUUUCAAGUGAUCAAUAUAAUGGUCGAGAUUCGUGGAGGAGUCGUCAUGCUUAUUUUGGGUUAACGUCUGUUUUAGUGGUUCUGAAGUGGGAACACGCUGGUUAGGGUCGGAUCUCACACAAGCACACAUUUAAACGUGUUAAGGCUGCUUAUAAAUAGGAUGAAGGCAUCUAAAGUACGAUAUACCUAACGGUCUCACAAGUCAUUUUAGAUGUGUUAACAUCUCCAGCAACAAUCGUAAACGUGAUAUCAUAACGUGAGGUCGUAACGUGAUAAAGUAAACUGAUAUCAUAACGUGAGGUCGUAACGUGAUAAAGUAAACUGAUAUCAUAACGUGAGAUUGUAAAGUGAGAUCGUAACGUGAUAACAUAACGUAAUAACGGAACAUAAUAACGGAACGUGACAACGUAAUAACAUCCCCAUCAUUCCCCCGCCCAG
ensembl:lncRNA